GGCAGAGAGAGGGAGAAGGGAGUGGAGAGUUACAUACCGGAGGACAGCCGACCGCUGCCGAGGAAGGCGAUCGUAAAGGGUACUCUUGCUGUGGAGUUCAGUUGAGAAGAGAGGUAUCGAAUGUUUGAGUGAGUUGAGCGCCACUCCAGCACUAUGGUUUGAGAGCUGAGAACCUGCACUGCGAGAUAUCUCUCUCUCUCUCUUUCUCAAUCUAUCUCUCUCCCUCUGCCCCCUGAUUUUGUUCUUGUUCUACAGUUUAGCAGGUCAAGGGUUUUGGACUCCUCUGUGCACGAAGACGAAGCAGAUCUGCACAAGGUCUGAUUGCGAAGUCUGGUUUUGCAGGUCUGGUUCCCUGUUAAAUCUUCACAGACGCCGCUCUCUGUGGAGAGAAGACAAGGAAGGUCGAAGGAAGGAAGCAGAGGCGAAAUUUCGCUUCCAUUAAUCCAAUUUGGCUGUGACAGCCCCCAGUUGGCCGUCUCCAGAUGCUUCGUUACUACUGUUAAGGAGGCUUUCCUUCACUCCCCCCUUCCCUUUAACAGUGCAGCGAGGCAACCAGAAAGGCCUCCGCGGCCGGAAGCCACGCCAGGGCUCUUGCGGAGGUCCCGAAAUCAAACCGAACUUUUGUAGAAAAACUUUAGGGUUUGGAAUUAGGACAAAGAAGAGCCAAAUCGGUCAUUCGGGUAGCCUUUUUUUCUGGUUUCCCCCUUUUUCUUCUCCCUCUUGUUAAUUCUUUCUAUAUAUUACUAGUAUGUUGUGUAAUUGUACUCCGAUUGAUUGUUCUUCCAAAGGAAAUUCCCUUGGAAAGUUAGAGCUA